rnacentral:rRNA from 1 species
UACGGAGGAUGCGAGCGUUAUCCGGAUUUAUUGGGUUUAAAGGGUGCGUAGGCGGCCUGUUAAGUCAGCGGUAAAAGCCCGGGGCUCAACCCCGGCGAGCCGUUGAAACUGGCUGGCUGGAGUUGGCGAGAGGUAUGCGGAAUGCGCGGUGUAGCGGUGAAAUGCUUAGAUAUCGCGCAGAACUCCGAUUGCGAAGGCAGCAUGCCGGCGCCACACUGACGCUGAGGCACGAAAGCGUGGGGAUCAAACAGG